GCCUGGGUGGCUCAGUCGGUUGAGCGUCUGACUUCAGCUCACGGUUCGUGGGUUCGAGCCCCGCGUCGGGCU
rnacentral:tRNA from 1 species